rnacentral:rRNA from 1 species
UACGUAGGGGGCGAGCGUUGUCCGGAUUUAUUGGGCGUAAAGAGCGUGUAGGCGGCCAGGUAGGUCUGCUGUGAAAACUCGAGGCUCAACCUCGAGACGUCGGCGGAACAUCUGGCUAGAGUCCGGAAGAGGAGAGUGGAAUUCCUGUGUAGCGGUGAAUGCGCAGAUAUCAGGAAGAACACCCGUGGCGAAGCGGCUCUCUGGGACGGUACUGACGCUGAGACGCGAAAGCGUGGGGAGCGAACAGG